rnacentral:rRNA from 1 species
AGUCUGGCCUGCCCAAUGAUUUUUGAAUGGCCGCAGUAUUUUGACUGUGCAAAGGUAGCAUAAUCAUUAGUUUUUUAAUUGAAAGCUGGAAUGAAAGGUUUGAUGAGAAAAUAACUGUCUCUGUAUAAAUGAUUUAGAACUUCAAUUUUAAGUGAAAAAGCUUAAAUUUUCUAUAAAGACGAGAAGACCCUAUAGAGUUUUAUAUUUAUAUAAAUUUAUGAGUUUAGGAAUUUAUUUUUUUAAUUUUAUAUAGAUAUUUUGUUGGGGCGAUGGAAAAAUUUGAUGAACUUUUUUUGUUUUAGAACAUUGAUUUAUGAAUAUAUGAUCCUUACUUUUGGAUUACAAGACUAAAUUACCUUAGGGAUAACAGCGUAAUUUUUUUUGGAGAGUUCUUAUCGAUAAAAAAGUUUGCGACCUCGAUGUUGGAUUAAAAUUAAAUUUUGGUGUAGAAGCUAGAAUUUUAGGCUGUUCGACCUUUAAAAUUUU